rnacentral:rRNA from 1 species
UGUGGUGACGAUGGCGAGAAGGAUACACCUGUUCCCAUGUCGAACACAGAAGUUAAGCUUCUUAGCGCCGAGAGUAGUUGGGGGAUCGCUCCCUGCG